AACGAACGCUGGCGGCAUGCCUAACACAUGCAAGUCGAACGAGACCUUCGGGUCUAGUGGCGCACGGGUGCGUAACGCGUUGGAACCUGCCCUUAGGUUCGGAAUAACUCCCCGAAAGGGGUGCUAAUACCGGAUAAUGUCUUCGGACCAAAGAUUUAUCGCCUUUGGAUGGGCCCGCGUUGGAUUAGCUAGUUGGUAGGGUAAAAGCCUACCAAGGCGACGAUCCAUAGCUGGUCGGAGAGGAUGAUCAGCCACACUGGGACUGAGACACGGCCCAGACUCCUACGGGAGGCAGCAGUGGGGAAUAUUGGACAAUGGGCGAAAGACUGAUCCAGCAAUGCCGCGUGAGUGAUGAAGGCCUUAGGGUUGUAAAGCUCUUUUACCCGGGAUGAUAAUGACAGUACCGGGAGAAUAAGAUCCGGCUAACUCCGUG
rnacentral:rRNA from 1 species